GUACUGGAAAACAUCAUCACAGCUUCAUACAGCACAGAAGUGAUGGAGAAAUGGGGCCUGUGCUUGGCAACAUGGCUUUGCCAAGAAGCUUACCUCUGCCUGCAGAGGAGCUCUGGAGGCAACUGGUGAGGAGUGAGUCUCAGAAUCCUCACCGAAGGCCACCCUCCGUCCUGGCUGCCAAACUGCAGAAGUCAUUCUCAGUGAUACCACCUGUGUCACUAUCUAAGGAGACAGAGAUGAUGUAGUGAGGCCUCCUAGAAUCACCCAGAAGGAGGAAAAGCCAGCAUUCCCAGCCCGCCCCCAGCGUGAAUCCAGGGGAUUCAGACCCUAUAAGGCAGUGAAGCUCUGCAAGCAGCAAAGAUAGUGUUUCAAAAGCUUUCUUGUUCUUGGCAAUGUGGAAAUUUCACAAACAGGAAAAACUGCUUUUACUUUUCCUAAAGGGGAACCGUUUAUGCCUCAUGAAAUAUUAAUGCCUUGAACUAUGGUUACUUUAGAGGCAGAGCUGAAAUACAUGAAAUGUUCUUAGCUGAGGACAAACACAGGGAAGCCACUCACCAAAAUCACAUCAGAUUUUCAUUACCAGACAUCUACUUUUUUAUAACACUCACUUUCAUUCCAAAUCACUUCAUUCCAAAUCACUCUACACACAAGGCAGUUAAGUCAAACACUAGAUAUUAUAUAAAAUAGUACAAUAUGAAAUUAAUCUGAUAAUUUUGAAAGGUGAAGCUAGUUCUCAGUAUAGCAGAUAUUGCCAGUGAAAUGUUCUUCCUCCAUUUCUGAGCAUUAAAUAAAUUCCUGGAAAGUGAAGAGCCAAGCUCUGUGGAGCUUAGAUACACAAGCUAUCCUAGAAUUUGACUCAAAAAGUCAGAUUUCUGUCUCAGUUACAGUUAAUCACUAAGUCUGCACCACUGUAAGGAAGAACAGAAUCAGGUUCAAAGAGAUGGGCUCUCAUAACUUUUUUUGAGAAGGACCAUAGCUAGGCUGAUUUCACAGCACAUCCUUCAGCUGCAAUCUCUUUGGGCAGACUUUCACAUGACCACAGUGGGAUAUCUGCAAAAUCUGGUGUUUUUUUUUUUUUUUUCCCUAAAAAAGGUUUAAAACUUCAUAAAUACAGUACUGUAUUUAUAAUAAUUUGGACUCAAACCCUCCCUUGCACACCUGCCAACUGCCUGACACAUCAGUAACUGCAAUAUAACUUUUUGUUAUUGAAACAUGAGAAGCCAGUGUUUUUGUGUUAUAUGUAAGGAAAAUGA